rnacentral:rRNA from 1 species
GAUGAACGCUGGCGGCGUGCCUAAUACAUGCAAGUCGAGCGAACAGACGAGGAGCUUGCUCCUCUGACGUUAGCGGCGGACGGGUGAGUAACACGUGGAUAACCUACCUAUAAGACUGGGAUAACUUCGGGAAACCGGAGCUAAUACCGGAUAAUAUAUUGAACCGCAUGGUUCAAUAGUGAAAGACGGUUUUGCUGUCACUUAUAGAUGGAUCCGCGCCGCAUUAGCUAGUUGGUAAGGUAACGGCUUAUCAAGGCAACGAUGCGUAGCCGACCUGAGAGGGUGAUCGGCCACACUGGAACUGAGACACGGUCCAGACUCCUACGGGAGGCAGCAGUAGGGAAUCUUCCGCAAUGGGCGAAAGCCUGACGGAGCAACGCCGCGUGAGUGAUGAAGGUCUUCGGAUCGUAAAGCUCUGUUAUUAGGGAAGAACAGAUGUGUAAGUAACUAUGCACGUCUUGACGGUACCUAAUCAGAAAGCCACGGCUAACUACGUG